rnacentral:lncRNA from 1 species
CAUUAUGAAUGUUUAUAUGUUAUAUGUUAUAUGUUUAUGGCUAAAUUCAUUCCAAACCAUGAGAUGCAAAAUGUUCCCUUCAACUUUUCCCACUGAUGAUUUGCCCCUAAAUUUGUACCUGACAAUGCUUGGCUUUUGAUAUAUUAGGAACCAUUCCUCCUCAACAAUGACGUGGGCUCCUUGAAAAACAACUCAUGUUUCC